GGGUAAAGGAGUGCAGGAGAGGCUGAGAUAAGAAGCACUGGCAUCGAGACGGGGUUAAAGGAGUGCAGGAGAGGCUGAGAUAGGAAGCACUGGCAUUGAGACGGGGGUAAAGGAGUGCAGGAGAGGCUGAGAUAAGAAGCACUGGCAUCGAGACGGGGGUAAAGGAGUGCAGGAGAGGCUGAGAUAGGAAGCACUGGCAUCGAGAC
rnacentral:lncRNA from 1 species